rnacentral:rRNA from 1 species
CAGUAGCCGCGGUAAUACGUAGGUGGCAAGCGUUGUCCGGAAUUAUUGGGCGUAAAGGGCUCGCAGGCGGUUUCUUAAGUCUGAUGUGAAAGCCCCCGGCUCAACCGGGGAGGGUCAUUGGAAACUGGGAAACUUGAGUGCAGAAGAGGAGAGUGGAAUUCCACGUGUAGCGGUGAAAUGCGUAGAGAUGUGGAGGAACACCAGUGGCGAAGGCGACUCUCUGGUCUGUAACUGACGCUGAUGAGCGAAAGCGUGGGGAGCGAACAGGAUUAGAGACCCGCGUAGUCCCUGUCUCUUAUAC